GCGGCCGCCCAGGCGCCUCCCGGCCCGCCCUGCAGGCGCUGCGGCCCCGGCGGGAGCGGGGUCAGCGCCGGGGGGAGCCACGCCCCCGUCCUGCCCGGCCCGGCCGUGCCGCGGUGACCCGUCGGGUCCGGGACAGAGCGCGGUGACACCGCGGGCACAGCGGGACCGGCGGCGCUGCGCCCCUCUGCUGUGGUGCCUCACGCCCCUGUGGUGGUUCCCGACACCCCCACGGCUGCCCCGGCCCCGCAGCGUCCACGUUUCCGGCCACAGAGAGCCCGCAGGGGAACAGCGCCUCUCGCACGGCCUCUCGUGCAGCGCAGCGUCACCAGCAUCCCAGGGCUUUUGCUAAACCGCUAGAAAAUAGAUCACCCUCCCUCUUCCUUGGACCUUGUACCGCCAAAGGACCCUUCAACCAGUGAAAGUUGGUUUUGCUCUCAAGUACCCUGUCCCAAAAACUUUGCUUCGGUCUGGUGACUAGAUAUGAAAGUGUCCUCACCUUUGUCAUAAAAACGCCACCAAUCACAUUUCUCCAGCUCUUCUCCCUCUAUCUAUAAGCACUCACACUCAGUCCUUGCCAGCUGUCAGGUUCAAAACACUGACAUUUUCGUACUUCAGAGAAAUCAAAUAAUAAGUAAUUGUUUUCCAGUAUCAGGUAUGACGGGGGACAGACGUUUACAAGUGCACCCGGAUCUGUUUAGCCAGCUGCCUGUACAAACAAGUGUAACAAGUCACAGUAUUUUUAACUCAAGGACUCUAAAACCUGUGAGACAGAACAUAACUGUACCCAUUUACCAGAGAGGGGCAGGACAGGACAGAGGUGAGGGAAAGACACAUCAGUGUAGAGGACUGGUGGUGUUGAAGUCCAACAGCGAGAGUCACAAAUGCUGUGAGUGCAAAGAUAUGAGGAGAGCCGUUUGGGUUGUACUUGGAUUUUACCUGGUUUUUGUUUUGUUUCUUCACCUGACUCAUCCCUUUUUCUCUCCCUCCCCCUUCCCACUCCAUCUGCUUAAACUGUGUGUUUCUGCCCAAGAUCACUGUACUGUACUGAACAUCCAUGUACUGACUGAGGAGAAAAAGGAAAAUGAGUUAUCUUCAGGUUUAUGUUCCUCUAUAGGAAAAAGUUUCCCAAAGCAAGAGCCCAGGCAGAUCUAGCUUUAUUUUUUAAUGUCAAGUUAGACGCUCUAAUUAAAAAUGUUUAAAAUACA